UACGAAGGGGGCUAGCGUUGUUCGGAAUUACUGGGCGUAAAGCGUGCGCAGGCGGCUUCUCAAGUCAGGGGUGAAAGCCCAGAGCUCAACUCUGGAAUUGCCUUUGAGACUGAGUGGCUUGAGUACGAGAGAGGUGAGUGGAAUUCCCAGUGUAGAGGUGAAAUUCGUAGAUAUUGGGAAGAACACCGGUGGCGAAGGCGGCCUGCUGGGCAGUAGCUGACGCUGAGGCGCGACAGCGUGGGGAGCAAACAGG
rnacentral:rRNA from 1 species